GACGAACGCUGGCGGCGUGCUUAACACAUGCAAGUCGAGCGAGUGGCGGACGGGUGAGUAAUGUCUGGGAAACUGCCCGAUGGAGGGGGAUAACUACUGGAAACGGUAGCUAAUACCGCAUACCAUCGGAUGUGCCCAGAUGGGAUUAGCUAGUAGGUGGGGUAACGGCUCACCUAGGCGACGAUCCCUAGCUGGUCUGAGAGGAUGACCAGCCACACUGGAACUGCAACACGGUCCAGACUCCGACGGGAGUCAGAAGUGGGGAAUAUUGUACAAUGGGCGCAAGCCGAAUGCAGCCAUGCCGCGUGGAUGAAGAAGGCCUUCGGGUUGUAAAGUACUUUCAGCGAGGAGGCGUUACUCGCAGAAGAAGCACCGGCUAACUCCGUGCCAGCAGCCGCGGUAAUUC
rnacentral:rRNA from 1 species